GGCUGUUAAUACCGCAUAGUAUCUGUGGAUUAAAGGUGGCUUUUGGGCUGUCGCAGAUGGAUGAGCCUGCGUUGGAUUAGCUAGUUGGUGGGGUAAGGGCCUACCAAGGCUACGAUCCAUAGCUGAUUUGAGAGGAUGAUCAGCCACAUUGGGACUGAGACACGGCCCAAACUCCUACGGGAGGCAGCAGUGAGGAAUAUUGGACAAUGGGGGCAACCCUGAUCCAGCAAUGCCAUGUGUGUGAAGAAGGCCUUAGGGUUGUAAAGCACUUUAGUUGGGGAAGAAAGCUUUGAGGUUAAUAGCCUUGAGGAAGGACGUUACCCAAAGAAUAAGCACCGGCUAACUCCGUGCCAGCAGCCGCGGUAAUACGGGGGGUGCAAGCGUUAAUCGGAAUUACUGGGCGUAAAGAGUCUGUAGGUGGUUUGUUAAGUCAGAUGUGAAAGCCCAGGGCUCAACCUUGGAACUGCAUUUGAUACUGGCAAACUAGAGUACGGUAGAGGAAUGGGGAAUUUCUGGUGUAGCGGUGAAAUGCGUAGAGAUCAGAAGGAACACCAAUGGCGAAGGCAACAUUCUGGACCGAUACUGACACUGAGGGACGAAAGCGUGGGGAUCAAACAGGAUUAGAUACCCUGGUAGUCCACGCUGUAAACGAUGAGUACUAGCUGUUGGAGUCGGUGUAAAGGCUCUAGUGGCGCAGCUAACGCGAUAAGUACUCCGCCUGGGGACUACGGCCGCAAGGCUAAAACUCAAAGGAAUUGACGGGGACCCGCACAAGCGGUGGAGCAUGUGGUUUAAUUCGAUGCAACGCGAAGAACCUUACCUGGUCUUGACAUCCUGCGAACUUUCUAGAGAUAGAUUGGUGCCUUCGGGAACGCAGUGACAGGUGCUGCACGGCUGUCGUCAGCUCGUGUUGUGAAAUG
rnacentral:rRNA from 1 species